rnacentral:tRNA from 1 species
GCGAGUGUAGCCAAGUGGUUAAGGCAUCGGAUUGUGAUUCCGACAUUCGUGGGUUCAAUUCCCAUCAUUCGCC